UGAGGAAUAUUGGUCAAUGGCCGAGAGGCUGAACCAGCCAAGUCGCGUGAGGGAUGAAGGUUCUAUGGAUCGUAAACCUCUUUUAUAAGGGAAUAAAGUGUGGGACGUGUCCUAUUUUGUAUGUACCUUAUGAAUAAGGAUCGGCUAACUCCGUGCCAGCAGCCGCGGUAAUACGGAGGAUCCGAGCGUUAUCCGGAUUUAUUGGGUUUAAAGGGUGCGUAGGCGGCCUUUUAAGUCAGCGGUGAAAGUCUGUGGCUCAACCAUAGAAUUGCCGUUGAAACUGGGGGGCUUGAGUAUGUUUGAGGCAGGCGGAAUGCGUGGUGUAGCGGUGAAAUGCAUAGAUAUCACGCAGAACCCCGAUUGCGAAGGCAGCCUGCCAAGCCAUUACUGACGCUGAUGCACGAAAGCGUGGGGAUCAAACAGG
rnacentral:rRNA from 1 species